rnacentral:rRNA from 1 species
AUUCCAGCUCCUAUAGCGUGUAUUAAAGUUGUUGUGGUUAAAAAGCUCGUAGUUGGAUUUCUGGUCUGAUGCCCUGGCCCGCCGCAAAUUCGUGGUGAGUGCCGGUUGUGCGUCUGCCAUCCUUCUAGAAAACGUCUCCACCCUUCACUGGGCCGGGUUCGCGAUCUAGAUCUUUUACUUUGAAAAAAUUAGAGUGUUUAAAGCAGGCUUUUGCUAUGAAUACAUUAGCAUGGAAUAAUAAGAUAGGCUCUUGAGUGCUACUUUGUUGGUUUAUACACUUAGAGAAUGAUUAACAGGGACAGUUGGGGGUAUUCAUAUUUACAUGUCAGAGGUGAAAUUCUUGGAUUUUGGAAAGAUGAACUACUGCGAAGGCAUUUACCAAGGAUGUCUUCAUCA